rnacentral:rRNA from 1 species
GACGAACGCUGGCGGCGUGCCUAAUACAUGCAAGUAGAACGCUGAAGAGAGGAGCUUGCUCUUCUUGGAUGAGUUGCGAACGGGUGAGUAACGCGUAGGUAACCUGCCUUGUAGCGGGGGAUAACUAUUGGAAACGAUAGCUAAUACCGCAUAACAAUGGAUGACACAUGUCAUUUAUUUGAAAGGGGCAAUUGCUCCACUACAAGAUGGACCUGCGUUGUAUUAGCUAGUAGGUGAGGUAAUGGCUCACCUAGGCGACGAUACAUAGCCGACCUGAGAGGGUGAUCGGCCACACUGGGACUGAGACACGGCCCAGACUCCUACGGGAGGCAGCAGUAGGGAAUCUUCGGCAAUGGGGGCAACCCUGACCGAGCAACGCCGCGUGAGUGAAGAAGGUUUUCGGAUCGUAAAGCUCUGUUGUAAGUCAAGAACGGGUGUGAGAGUGGAAAGUUCACACUGUGACGGUAGCUUACCAGAAAGGGACGGCUAACUACGUGCCAGCAGCCGCGGUAAUACGUAGGUCCCGAGCGUUGUCCGGAUUUAUUGGGCGUAAAGCGAGCGCAGGCGGUUUGAUAAGUCUGAAGUUAAAGGCUGUGGCUCAACCAUAGUUCGCUUUGGAAACUGUCAAACUUGAGUGCAGAAGGGGAGAGUGGAAUUCCAUGUGUAGCGGUGAAGUGCGUAGAUAUAUGGAGGAACACCGGUGGCGAAAGCGGCUCUCUGGUCUGUAACUGACGCUGAGGCUCGAAAGCGUGGGGAGCGAACAGGAUUAGAUACCCUGGUAGUCCACGCCGUAAACGAUGAGUGCUAGGUGUUGGAUCCUUUCCGGGAUUCAGUGCCGCAGCUAACGCAUUAAGCACUCCGCCUGGGGAGUACGACCGCAAGGUUGAAACUCAAAGGAAUUGACGGGGGCCCGCACAAGCGGUGGAGCAUGUGGUUUAAUUCGAAGCAACGCGAAGAACCUUACCAGGUCUUGACAUCCCGAUGCUAUUUCUAGAGAUAGAAAGUUACUUCGGUACAUCGGUGACAGGUGGUGCAUGGUUGUCGUCAGCUCGUGUCGUGAGAUGUUGGGUUAAGUCCCGCAACGAGCGCAACCCCUAUUGUUAGUUGCCAUCAUUCAGUUGGGCACUCUAGCGAGACUGCCGGUAAUAAACCGGAGGAAGGUGGGGAUGACGUCAAAUCAUCAUGCCCCUUAUGACCUGGGCUACACACGUGCUACAAUGGUUGGUACAACGAGUUGCGAGUCGGUGACGGCGAGCUAAUCUCUUAAAGCCAAUCUCAGUUCGGAUUGUAGGCUGCAACUCGCCUACAUGAAGUCGGAAUCGCUAGUAAUCGCGGAUCAGCACGCCGCGGUGAAUACGUUCCCGGGCCUUGUACACACCGCCCGUCACACCACGAGAGUUUGUAACACCCGAAGUCGGUGAGGUAACCUUUUGGAGCCAGCCGCCUAAGGUGGGACAGAUGAUUGGGGUGAAGUCGUAACAAGGUAGCCGUAUCGGAAGG